UACGGGGGGAGCAAGCGUUGUUCGGAUUUACUGGGCGUAAAGGGCGCGUAGGCGGUUGUGACAAGUCACUUGUGAAAUCUCCGGGCUUAACUCGGAACGGUCAAGUGAUACUGUCGGACUAGAGUACAGAAGGGGCAACUGGAAUUCUCGGUGUAGCGGUGAAAUGCGUAGAUAUCUGGAGGAACACCGGUGGCGAAGGCGGCAUCCUGGACCGAGAUUGACGCUGAGGCGCGAAAGCCAGGGGAGCAAACGGG
rnacentral:rRNA from 1 species